UUCCACAGAACGCAGCUUUAACAGACUGCAUAAGGCUACUUUACAUCUCCUAUAAGGACAAUGACUUUUAAGAUGAUGCACCAUAGUUUGGAAACUUGUUGCCUCUUUUAAUGUCAUUCCGUAUGUGUGUCAUGCUUAUAGCCACCAGGUCAUCAUGAUGCUUUUUGAUCGUUUAACAGGGACCAUAGUUUUCGUGUGUGUAUCAAUAACACCAGGUAUGUCAUGUUUGGUAUGUGUGUGAUCACUAUUGAAUUUCCUAAGGGUUGGUAUAAUGUAAAGUUGAGUACGAUGUAUUACAUGCAUGUUACCAAAUUCCUUAACAAAGUUCUAACUUAACCUUAUGCAAAGUUUGCAAAGCACAUAACUCAGAGACCAGAAUGUUAAUUAGUGUCAGAGGAGGAGAAUACAGUUUACACCCUGCCCCAAGAUCCUGCUGAUUGGAGCAAACACUUUGGGGUCAGCCCAACUGGAAAGGGUUAAAACCCCCUGACACAAAGGAAACUCUGAGUCUCAUCCAACACACCUCUGCAAGAGUCUCAUCCAAUCCAUCUUCCAAGAGUCUCAUCCACUACAUCUCUGCAAGAGUCUCCAUCCACAUCUGAAGGAAGUCUCAUCAACCAAGAGCUUUAGAAGUUCAUCACAAGGAGAUCACGCUUGCUCCGAGACUGCAUCCAGACUGGUUCUUGCAAAGCUUCCAACUCUCGGCUUCGCACCGCUGUGAACCACUCUUCAAAGUUUUGCAACCCGCCUACGAGACUCCGCCGGGUUCGCGCCUCACUCUGUUUAUCUUCCUCAUUGGUCUUUCGAGACACUGCAUAAGGCCAACCAGACCGCCGACCAAUCAACAUCGCCGGAAACUCCUUCCAAACAACAACGCAACGAGGGAAUCCCUGGCAACACAAACGCAAUGCCGGCAUCCCCUUCAUCUCCAUUCAACUGGCCACCAUCGACUGUGUCUCCAUCAGCAGGCCCAGCACCCGCUACAUCUGAACCAACAGCUGACAAGGACAAAGGAGCCAUGGGAGUAGAUUACAAGAAACUUGCUAAAGAAGUAUUGGCAUUAUCAACUGGUGGCACUGACGACAUGUACCGAGACAUCUGGUGAGGGUCCGACUCAGCCAGGUAUCACCAGGUCAAACCGCCAGCAUCAACCUUUUCAGUGGGCCCCGCUCCAAAUGCCCUGAUCCAAUUCCCACAACCACGGACUGGACAGACUAUCGAGGGUGGAAGAGUUCAUCCCAAAGUCAUGUAUGUUUACAGGCCUCUUGAACAGUCUGAAUUGGACUCAGUGGUCAAAGACAUCACAAGUUGCACAAUGCGUAAAGGACUUGGUCCUUCAAUGAUAUGUUCAAAAUGACCAACCAGGAGUGGACUAAAGUCAUGGCUAGUGUUUUUGGGAACAAAGACACAGUGAGCACACCCAUGGGAUCCAGCAGCAAAUAGAGAUCCAAAUAGCCGUCCCAUCAACUUGACACUCCUGAUGCAACAAAUCCGUGACACUUUCCCCAUAACCAGAUACUGGGAUAAAGUCAAAAACUGCAUACAAAUAACUGGAGACACAGUGGAGGAAUUCACUGAAUGUGUAGCUGAAGCUCUGAACAAUGGCCUGAUGAACAAUUAUGACAGAAGAACAAUACAUAAGGCAAGUCCUGGCUCAGGGAUUGGAUAAGAAGAUCUUUUUUUGCAAGAGUUCCUGCACUGGCUUGCAAAACUGAUCUGAUGACUAUACUGAUCUGAUGGCUCAUGCUAUCCAUGCUGAGAGACCCCUGAGAGAUAAACAGAGCAAGGCUCAAAACUCCCUUCAGAUGGCACAACUCCAGUUUUAUUAUUAAGCCUAAUGAUGGCCUCCUUCACUUGCAUUGAGAUCUCCUUGGACUUCAUAUUGGUAGCUCCAGCCGAAAAGCUGCCAAAUGCCAACUCAGGACCUGAUAUCAACUCCAGACCUUUUAUCUGCUUCAUUUGUCUUGAAGUAACAAGGGAAUGGACCGCACGUGGUCAAUUAACUUCUUGUCAGUCAAUUGUCCAAAUACUUUGCUUAAAAUGGCUGUAAUUCCUGAAUGGUAAAUGCCAUAUUUUUGUGCAACCUCUUAAAAUAAAGCUGAAAGUCUACACUUCGAUCACAUCUUGAUUGUUUUAUUUCAAAUCCAUUGUGGUGGUGUAUAAAGGCAAAAUCACAAAAACUCUGCCAUUGUCCAAAUACUUCCAGACCUGACUGUAUGUACAUGAGAGUAAUGGUUUUAUGUCUGGCAUUUUAACACAAUCACACGGCAAAAAAUGGAAAGCUGUUGCAUAUUUCUCUAAGCAUCUCAAUCUGAAUGUGUGGAUAUCCAUCCUAUAAGAUCUCCACCCUAUAAGACCUCUGGCAGACGCCACAGAAGCUGUCUUUGGUCUUCUGACUUAGUUGACUUACCUUGAGAUCCAUGUGCCACACAAUGUGUAUAAAAUUAUUACAAGUGUUACAGUGGGUCAGCAACCAAAAUGCCCCUUACUGCUGCGGCACACAUAAAUUUAUAUGUGGCAUAAAGGGGUGCGCCGCUUGUAAAGAUUCUCUUUUUAUUAAACCUCAAUUAGAGCUGUACUUCAAUGGAUGGGUAUCAACGCGUGGGGGGCAUUCCUUUUCAUUUUUCUUCGGUGAUUUCACCGGAUCCGAGAGUGGGCAAGAAGUGCAGCAAGCGAGCUGAUUGUGUGUCUAUGUGAGAGAAUGUUGCCAGCACUGAUGACAAUCACAGAGAACACAGAAAAACAUUAAAAACAUUUAGAAUGGUAUAAAUGAUGUUAAAAUUAUGAUUUUUUUUUAAAUAGACCUUAAAAAUCAGGUUUUAAAUUCAUGUGGCAUUCAUGUAAACAAUUUAUAUUUUUUGUAUUAAAGAAUCCCAUUUCUGCUGCCAUCACAAAAGUGAAAAAUUUUGUUUUUUCAAAAACGCUAGUGUUUGGUUGUCAUGGAAAUGAAAAAUGACAGGAUAAGAGGAUUUCAAUUAUUCUUAAAGUUUUCUUAACAAAAUAUUUCUUAAACAACAUAUGACUAUUUAUGCUUGGCAAUGUAUUUGAGCUUAUGUAUUAAUAACAGUUUGAGUCUUGGACAGGAAACUGUAUAUUCCUUAAGUGUCUUAAGGAAAGACAUAAGAUGUAAUCAGGUUUUACGAAUUAAAUUUAUUCAUACAAAGAAAAUGGGAACAUUACAUCAAACUAUUUUUUUUCCCCAAAGUAAAAAUAUUUACAUGUUGGUUAAAAAUGCAAGUGCCUGUGGGUAACAGCGUUCCUUUAGGAGCGUAAGAACUCGUUGACUCUGUCUUUGAUGUGCUUUCAGUCAGUGUUGGUCAUGUGGGGGAACCUCUGAGAAACGUUCUUCAAGACAAAGUGCCUUAGGAUUAGGGGCAAUGCAGAUUUCCCCCUCGAACCAUCCCAGCUGGUGGUCGAUGCCCACUCUUUAUACAGCUGCUCUGGUAAAAUGGUACGGAACAGCAAACAGCCAUAUCGGUCCAGCCGUCCCCGAUCAUUAGGAUCUCUAGGUGCUCUGGUGAGGGACAAGAAAACUGGAGUUCAGGAUGGCAACUUCCAGCUGGUGUUGUUGGCGUUGGACCCGUGGUGAUGACAGAAGAUGGUGUUUGCCUAUUGUCUGCAUCUCCAUUCAGGCUAGCAGCGACCUCAGUCGAACAGUCUGAUGUUGGGGGACGGGUAGAGUCGAGUUGAGUCCUCAAUGCCUCUUUUGCUGUCUGCUCCUCUCUUAGCCUAGGGCCUACACGAGCCUGGUGUGUGUUGUUUUAAAAUCUGCAGUAGCUGCUUUUGCGUCUGCAUAUGCCUCCCUGCAGACACGAAGCUCUCUCCUCAGGGCCUCAAUCUCAGCGUUCUGCCUCACUAGCUCACGCCUCAAAGUCCUCCACCACAUUUUUCUCUCUCUUGGCAAUGACACAAAACAUACAGCAGCCAGACAGUGUAUUGCUGAGGAGGGGGUCGACUGGGUGAAAACACCAGCCAAAUCACCAGAUCUCAACCCAGUUGAGCUGGUUUGGCACGCACUGAAGGAACUCGUCAGAUGCAAGACCAAGCCAGGGAGUAAAGAUGAGCUUCCUAAGGCCAUAGUGACUUUCUGGACAGACUAAAGCAGCCUGCCACAGAUACAUCGAGCACCUUCAGAAAGUUAUGCCAGCUGUAGUUGAGUGUAAUAGAGGCUCAUCUGGAAUGUAGCAAAUUUAUUGUACUGUUGCCAUUAAUUAGUAAAUAAACUGCUUGACCACAA